GGGGCUGCGAUAAUGGGAGAGGAAGGUGGGGAGCUGAGCCGUCACAACCCAACGGGGCAGCUUCCUCCUCCUCUGAGCCACCCUGUGCCCCCAUCUCACCACGCGUUAUUAGAAAAAGACCCCACCGGGAAUUCUUCGAGACGCUUAUAUCGACAGUGAGGCCAGGGAAAGAAGGCAGCGGUGACAGCAGAGGGGAAUCAGGCUUCCCGGUCUCGACACAGGCUUUCUGCUGAGCGCCCACAGCGUGUCGGGCCCUGUGCUAAGCUCUUCAGGUACCUUAACUCGCCAGAUCACCCUAACAGCAGCUCUGCAAGCUAGGAACGGCCGUGACCCCCGUCGUACAGACAAGCAGCUGGAGACACAGAGAGGCUGCGAUCCCAGUGCAGCUCAAAAUGUGGAAAUUCCAACAACCCACGCUCAGAAGCCAGAACUGUCUUGUGUGUGCAGCAGUAAAAUUUGAGAUAAACCUUGAUUUCAAGAUGUCGAAAUCUGAGCUAUCUUCAUCUCUUGUCCUGUGGCUUUGUGAUAUAGAAGACAAAAAAAGAAAUUUCCAGUAAGAGUAUCUGAUUUGUAAUGGAAGAGAAAUUAUAAAGCGUGUCAGGGGCCCAUCGUAAAGCAAGCUUACUGCCCAGAGGAAGAAAAGUGGCUCAAGGAAGGCCAUUCGAGAAGUCAGCCUAGGUUGAUGGGAUAAAGGAAAACACUCGUCAUUCUGGGCGGAGCAGGCCAUUUUCCAUCUCCAAAUCCCUUAAUAACCAAUGCUCUACUUGCAAAGAGUUACAUUUCCUGCUCUGCUAAACAGACCCGGGGGCAGUGCAGCCUGCAGUGAAUCACAUUCUCCCAAGCUGGCCUUCUCCAUUCUGGACCUGCCCAAAGCAGACAGCAGCAAAAAGACGGUUUUAUAAGCCGAGAGGCAACUAAAGGAAACUGCUGGUUCUCCAGACAUGCCCGGCAGCAGCAGGAACAGCAGCAGCAUUAUUUCUGCCCCUUGUUCACAGGAACUAGAACCAUUUUCCACGACAGAGGAAGUUAACUCCUUACAGAGACACCAUAUCAUCUCAAAAGGAAGGUGCCUGGCCAUCUAACUAACUAACUAGUGAGGCAGUGGAGAAAAGAAGAGAAAUCUAAUUACAGUACUUGGGUUGGCUCUUGGCAUGACUGACUUGGAAACUAAAUAAAAUCUAGACAUUGUCAGGAGAGGACUACAGCCCUUUGAGCAGUCUCUCCUGAGGCACGAUCAAGCCAAAAAGAGUGAGAAGCAGCUGGUUAUUCAGCACUUCUGGUUUUCCAGCAAGUUCCUGGGACUAAAAUCACACUGACCAAACACUUCUGACCAACACUUACAUUUCAACAAAAGAAACAGACACUAGUCGUCAGGACAUAGUCUCAGAACAUUAAAUUGACGACUCUCUUUUCUAAGAUCUAAGCAGCAUUUCAUAACAUUAAAGGUGGUUCCUCCACCAAACUGAGUCCCUUGAGAAUAAAAACCAUCUUGUCUUCAGCUGUGUAGCCCCAGACAUUGUGUCUGGCACAUGGUAGGGGGUCCACAUAACUCUCUAUAAUAGGGUAGACACGUGGGGUUUGUAAACCAGUCCACAAAAUUAAAACCCUAGGUCAAUUAAAUACUCCCCUGGGUUAAAUAAGCUUAUCUCCUUUGUGGACCAGGAUCUUAAAAUUACACAUCUCAAACCUACACAUCGAACCGAAUCUGGCUCCGAGCCCUGGGUGUCAAGACAAAGCCAGUUCCACUUCCACACACUGCUGGUGGGAUAACUAAAGGGUACAGCCCCUAAGGAGGAAAACUCACCAACAUCUAUCAAAACUACCAACGCCCAUCAAUUUCUUUUCUAGGAAUUCAUCCUCCAGGUAGAUUCCUAAGCAUGCAAAAUGAAUGUACAAAGUCAUUUACUACAGCAACAGACUGGAAACAACCCAAACAUCCAGUGAUAAAGGAGCAGUUAAAUAAGGUACAGGCAGGUGAACGAAUGCUAUGCAGGUGUAAAAAAAAAAAAA